rnacentral:lncRNA from 1 species
UGAGAUUUAGAUUGUCUUCCAUCUUUAUGUGACACGCUGUUGAGAUCAUCUCUGCUGACUACCUGCACGCUUAUCUUGGAUGUCAGCUGGAUCUGUGAAUGCGCAGAGCUCAAUCAGGUGAGUUGGCUGGAAGCAACAAAGACGCUGGACCUGGAUGACGAGAAAUACAAGAAAGUGUUCGAUGGUUACGAUACUUGUGAUAUUUUGUACAACAUCAAGUUUAAGGUCGAUGCUUUCGGGUGGCAUGGCGUCCCCGUCACCUUCCAAGUGAACAACACCCUAACCCCAGCUGAGGGCUAUACGAAAGAUGAGAAGCUGGAGUCAUACAGAAAACGUACCAGCGGGUGGCAACAGAUCCAUGGUGGCGACUUCAAAAUACCUAAAACUGAGAAGAAAGGAGAGGUCAAGUUCGGCAUGUAUGAAAUCAAGAGCCAGAGGUGGAAGGGUGGCAUUCUUCUCGCCGGCGUCACUCUCAAGCUUCACAAGUCUGCCAC